UCAGUUAGAAACUUAGAUUGAAUAGGCAGGGUCUAGCGAAUUUCGAUCCAAAUAUUUAAUGUUUAGGGGAUAUCCACUAGUACAAAAAACGCUUUUUAAGUCAGUUCUGUAUCCGACAUAAGAAUUGGCGCCAUUGGCUUAAGAAAUACUUCCUCUAAAAUCAAUUUUACUUCCUCCAAAAGUGAAGUAAAAUUUAUAUGUUUAGGUGACAUGUAAAAUCAAUUUUCAUGGUCUAGAAUUAAUUUUACCAAUCAAAUGAAUACGCCGACUAACACCACUCCUAGGAAAACUUUCGAUCCAUUUCUAUAUAUGACUUGUCUGGAUCCUUGUAUCGUUGAUCUGUAGCGGCGAUGCAAGUAUAGUUAUGUGUGAGACUCAUAUUUAAGUGGGAAAUUUUGGAAAUGAGUGAAUAUGCGGUAAGAUAAAUAAUCUUGGCCAAAAGCCUUAUCUGUUUCUUCAUAUAUCAUAGUUCUGCUUUGAACACAAUCAUGUAUUAUGAAUUUCAACUGAUUGAAAGGUUAUAUAUCACAUGAACUUAAAAGACAGGAAUAUCAAUGAAUCUUUGCAUUCACCUUAAUGAUUGAUUUUUUGUAGCACAAGUCUUAGUAGUUAUUUAUUUGUUCUACAAUGGAAUUGUAAUACCUUUUUUUAGCUUUUUUACUUUCUCACAUUAUAACCAUAAUUUUCAGCUUCAAGGAGCAGUAGGAUGGUAAAUGCACUAACCAAGACAAAACUACAGGAUGGAUAUGUUUCUUAUCCAUGGGAGAGGACAAUGCAAGAGAUGCUACCAGUUCCGAAUUCGAGU
rnacentral:lncRNA from 1 species